AGACGGAGGGAGCAAGCGUUGCUCGGAAUUACUGGGCGUAAAGGGCGUGUAGGCGGGACAGCAAGUCGGGUGUGAAAGCCCUGGGCUCAACCCAGGAAGUGCAUUCGAUACUACUGUUCUUGAGUAUGACAGAGGAAAGCGGAAUUCCCGGUGUAGCGGUGAAAUGCGUAGAUAUCGGGAAGAACACCAGUGGCGAAGGCGGCUUUCUGGGUCAUAACUGACGCUGAGACGCGAAAGCUAGGGGAGCGAACGGGAUUAGAUACCCCAGUAGUCC
rnacentral:rRNA from 1 species